GCAGUAUCCUAACUGUGCUAAGGUAGCAUAAUCAUUAGUCUUUUAAUUGGAGACUGGUAUGAAUGGCUUAACGAGAAAUUGACUUUUUUUGCUAUUUUAAUUGAAUUUAAUUUUUUAGUGAAAAAGCUAAAAUUAUUUAGAAAGACGAGAAGACCCUAUAGAGUUUUAUAUCUGAUUUUAUUUUUUCUUAUUAGAUUUUUUGAGAAUAAAUAUAUAAAGAUAUUUUGUUGGGGCGACAUUAAGAUAUAAAAAACUCUUUAUUUUAUAAAUUUUUAUGUAAAUAUUUCAUGAUCCUCUAAAAGGGAUCAAAAGAAAAAAUUACCUUAGGGAUAACAGCGUAAUCUUUUUUAAGAGUUCUAAUCGACAAAAAGGUUUGCGACCUCGAUGUUGGACUAAAAUUUAGGCAGGGUGCAGCAGUUCUGCUUUUAGGUCUGUUCGACCUAUA
rnacentral:rRNA from 1 species